rnacentral:rRNA from 1 species
AUUGAACGCUGGCGGCAGGCCUAACACAUGCAAGUCGAACGAGUGGCGGACGGGUGAGUAAUGCUUGGGAAACUCGCUGAUGGAGGGGGAUAACUACGGGAAACUGUAGCUAAUACCGCGUACCAUAGGAUGAGCCCAAGUGGGAUUAGGUAGUUGGUGGGGUAAAGGCUCACCAAGGCGACGAUCCCUAGCUGGUCUGAGAGGAUGACCAGCCACACUGGGACUGAGACACGGCCCAGACUCCUACGGGAGGCAGCAGUGGGGAAUAUUGCGCAAUGGGCGCAAGCCUGACGCAGCCAUGCCGCGUGAAUGAAGAAGGCCUUCGGGUUGUAAAGUUCUUUCGGUAGCGAGGCGUUACCUACAGAAGAAGCACCGGCUAACUCCGUGCCAGCAGCCGCGGUAAUAC